rnacentral:rRNA from 1 species
UACGAAGGGGGCUAGCGUUGUUCGGAAUUACUGGGCGUAAAGCGCACGUAGGCGGGCUUGUAAGUAGGGGGUGAAAUCCCAGAGCUCAACUCUGGAACUGCCUUCUAAACUGCAAGCCUGGAGGUCAGGAGAGGCGAGUGGAAUACCGAGUGUAGAGGUGAAAUUCGUAGAUAUUCGGUGGAACACCAGUGGCGAAGGCGACUCGCUGGACUGAUGCUGACGCUGAGGUGCGAAAGCGUGGGGAGCAAACAGG